rnacentral:rRNA from 1 species
AUUGCCUACGGGGCGCAGCAGUCGGGAAUAUUGCGCAAUGGAGGAAACUCUGACGCAGUGACGCCGCGUGCAGGAAGAAGGUUUUCGGAUUGUAAACUGCUUUAGACAGGGAAGAAAAAAGACAGUACCUGUAGAAUAAGCUCCGGCUAACUACGUGCCAGCAGCCGCGGUAAUACGUAGGGGGCAAGCGUUAUCCGGAUUUACUGGGUGUAAAGGGAGCGUAGGUGGCAUGGCAAGCCAGAAGUGAAAACCCGGGGCUUAACCCCGCGGAUUGCUUUUGGAACUGUCAGGCUGGAGUGCAGGAG